rnacentral:rRNA from 1 species
AGAGUUUGAUCCUGGCUCAGAUUGAACGCUGAUGCUUUACACUGCAAGUCGAACGGUAACAGGCCUUCGGGCGCUGACGAGUGGCGAACGGGUGAGUAAUGUAUCGGAACGUACCUUUCAGUGGGGGAUAACGUAGCGAAAGUUACGCUAAUACCGCAUAUUCUGUGAGCAGGAAAGCAGGGGAUCGCAAGACCUUGCGCUGAUUGAGCGGCCGAUAUCAGAUUAGCUAGUUGGUGAGGUAAAGGCUCACCAAGGCGACGAUCUGUAGCGGGUCUGAGAGGAUGAUCCGCCACACUGGAACUGACACGGUCCAGACUCCUACGGGAGGCAGCAGUGGGGAAUUUUGGACAAUGGGGGCAACCCUGAUCCAGCCAUGCCGCGUGAGUGAAGAAGGCCUUCGGGUUGUAAAGCUCUUUCGGCCGGGAAGAAAUCGUACGGGCUAAUACCCUGUGCGGAUGACGGUACCGGCAUAAGAAGCACCGGCUAACUACGUGCCAGCAGCCGCGGUAAUACGUAGGGUGCGAGCGUUAAUCGGAAUUACUGGGCGUAAAGCGUGCGCAGGCGGUUUUGUAAGACAGGCGUGAAAUCCCCGGGCUCAACCUGGGAACUGCGCUUGUGACUGCAAGGCUAGAGUAUGGCAGAGGGGGGUGGAAUUCCACGUGUAGCAGUGAAAUGCGUAGAGAUGUGGAGGAACACCAAUGGCGAAGGCAGCCCCCUGGGCCAAUACUGACGCUCAUGCACGAAAGCGUGGGUAGCAAACAGGAUUAGAUACCCUGGUAGUCCACGCCCUAAACGAUGUCAACUAGGUGUUGGGUGGGUAAAACCAUUUAGUACCGUAGCUAACGCGUGAAGUUGACCGCCUGGGGAGUACGGCCGCAAGGUUAAAACUCAAAGGAAUUGACGGGGACCCGCACAGCGGUGGAUGAUGUGGAUUAUUCGAUGCACGCGAAA